rnacentral:rRNA from 1 species
UACGUAGGGGGCAAGCGUUGUCCGGAUUUAUUGGGCGUAAAGAGCGUGUAGGCGGCCAGAUAGGUCGGUUGUGAAAACUGGAGGCUUAACCUCCAGACGUCGACCGAAACCAUCUGGCUAGAGUCCGGAAGAGGAGAGUGGAAUUCCUGGUGUAGCGGUGAAAUGCGCAGAUAUCAGGAAGAACACCCGUGGCGAAAGCGGCUCUCUGGGACGGUACUGGACGCUGAGACGCGAAAGCGUGGGGACGAACAGG